AGUUUUUUAUUUUAUAAUAAAUACAAGUAUAAAUUGUGAAUUUAUAAAAAAUUUUAUUAAUUU
rnacentral:tRNA from 1 species